GCACUACUUUUCCCAAUUUCCAAACCCUCCUGGGGAACUUCAAAGAAAAUCAGGCUUUCCAGAAUUGCAAAUGUCUGCCCAGUGGCCUGAUGAAAAACAUCUUUUGGGUGAUAAAAUGAGUUGCAUGCAAAUGACAAGUAGGCUUGAUGUGCCCUGAAAACAUUCAGCUUGGAGUGACCUGUGAUCAUAAAUUACUGGCAUGCUGCAUCAGAUCCUAGACUUGUAAUUUCAUCAAGAUCAACAAGAUGCAAUCUUGAAAACUGUUUGUAUGACGUGAGGACAAAUUGAUGCCCUUGUCCUUCCAGACUGUUGGAUCUGAUGCUCAGGAGUCUGACUACUUUGUGUCUCUAAGUAGCAGCAUAGGGUCAUUGUAAAUAAUUAAGUAGAAAUUUGUUACCCUUUUGUCAAAUGUAUUUCUGAUGUUUCUCUUCCGUAGCCUCCAUUAAGAAAUCCCUUGAUUAAAUUUUAAAGUCUUAAACAAUUUGAAGGGCUGAGAGCACAGGACACAAACUACAGGCUGAAUAUUUUGCACGGGAAAGUCAUAUUCUCUUUGGGAGCAAAGAAAAUAAUGUCAGGUAUUUAAUAUGCAAUCCCAUGAUUCUCUUUCAAGACAUGAUGUUACAGAUUUGAUUACCAGCUCAGUGGCUGGUACUUGUUGGUUUUUUUUUUCCUCUUCUGUUUGCCUUUAGAGAUCCAGAAUUUUAUCUCUCAAUAUAUUUACAAAUGUUUGUGUAUAAUGUAUAGCUCAAAAUUUAAUCCUAUGCAUUUACACAGAAUAAUUUGUAUAAAGGUGGAACCUUCAGAAUAAAAAAUCGCCAUUCAUAACUUAAAAGCUACAAUUUAAGGAUAAAACUGUCAUGAGUUUUCUGAAAUGUAUAAAAUGGCUUAAGAAGGAGACAUGAUAUUUUACAUAUAAAUGAAAGUUGAAAAAUGAAUUAAUUAUCUUGAUUUUUAGAUCCAGCUAAAUAAUUUUUAUCAUUCUUUUUAUCAUAAGACUCUCUAAAAUGUAUGCAUUUAUAAAACAUUCAUUAUUAUGCAUGUCUUGAAGCAGACAUACAAUAUUUAUUGUGGCAAAAGUCAUUUACUGCACGUUGAAUAUGAACACAAUCUGUAUACAAGGAAGGAAAAAAAAAAUCAACAACAAAAAACAUUAUCAAGGAGGAGCAUAUAUUCCCCUAGUAGAGAGCUUAAUUCUGGACCAGAGGAUGUAUCAUUAUUGUUGACCUAUUAAUGCUAGUAAACUAUU